rnacentral:rRNA from 1 species
GAGGAAUAUUGGUCAAUGGGCGAGAGCCUGAACCAGCCAAGUCGCGUGAAGGACGACGGUUCUAUGGAUUGUAAACUUCUUUUGUAGAGGAAUAACGGCAGCUACGUGUAGCUGAGAUGCAUGUACUCUACGAAUAAGUAUCGGCUAACUCCGUGCCAGCAGCCGCGGUAAUACGGAGGAUACGAGCGUUAUCCGGAAUUAUUGGGUUUAAAGGGUGCGUAGGUGGCGUAUUAAGUCAGUGGUGAAAAGCUGCAGCUCAACUGUAGUCUUGCCGUUGAAACUGAUAUGCUAGAGAGGAGACGAGGUAUGCGGAAUGUGUGGUGUAGCGGUGAAAUGCAUAGAUAUCACACAGAACGCCGAUUGCGAAGGCAGCGUACCAGGCUCCGUCUGACACUGAAGCACGAAAGCGUGGGGAUCAAACAGGAUUAGAUACCCUGGUAGUCCACGCAGUAAACGAUGAAUACUAGAUUUUUGCGAUAUACUGUAAGAGUCUAAGCGAAAGCGAUAAGUAUUCCACCUGGGGAGUACGCCGGCAACGGUG